rnacentral:rRNA from 1 species
UACGGAGGGUGCAAGCGUUAAUCGGAAUUACUGGGCGUAAAGCGCGCGUAGGUGGAUUGGUCAGUCAGAUGUGAAAGCCCCGGGCUCAACCUGGGAACUGCACCUGAUACUGCCAGUCUCGAGUACGGUAGAGGGCAGUGGAAUUUCCUGUGUAGCGGUGAAAUGCGUAGAUAUAGGAAGGAACACCAGUGGCGAAGGCGACUGCCUGGACUGAUACUGACACUGAGGUGCGAAAGCGUGGGGAGCAAACAGG